AGCCUGAUACAAAAGGGGGACAUCCGAGAGUGUACAAACUUGCAAACCAUUGCCCAUACAACCCAAGCUGAAGCCCAAACUCCGAUUGGAAGGCAACAUUGACCCUUAGGAAUGUUGCCUUACCAUUAGCAACGAUGUAGUCAACCUGAGCAGCGAUCUGCUCGUCAGUCAGAGGGGGCAGGUAGGAAAAGGUCUCGAACAUCCUGAAAGAGAAAACAAGUUGUGAACAUAAAACGUGUAAGCAAGCGGAAAGAAAAGCGUUUGGCAGUACAAAUAUAAGACAAAACAAAAGAAAUCGCAAGACAAGUACCGACGUGAUUAGGCAAAUACCGACGUGCCGUUCAUGAAAGACAUUCCUAAUCUCGCUUCAGGGAUACAGAAUCAAGGUAAUUUAGUAGAUUGUGCAGUAGAAAAGGUGCAGCUACUCACUUGUUGUUCACCGGGGUCCAGACCAUCAUCUUGUUAGCCUGGGCCGGAGCAGUGACCGGGGCAGCCUUGACAGCCGGCUUCAGAGCUGCAACAGAACGCUGAACGCUGUUGCGGGAUGGGCGCGCCACUGCGCUGGCCACAGAUGAUUUAGCAACAAUAGCGGCCAUUUUGGGAUAUGAUUUAAAUGUUUAAGAAUCACUAAUAUAUUAAUUGUAUGCUUAAUUGUGAUCACAGCUGAUUGCUUUUGUAUUGUGAUGAUCUGUACCACGAUAAAACGUACGGCAGCGUUGAAGCCUUGGCACGGACUUCCCUGGGGCUAAUGUUUUAAUCUUGGAGAGCAUAUUCUGAUAACCUUUGCAUUUCAUCAGGUCUAGGGCUUCAGUCGGAGAAAGCUCGGUCCUUAAGGUUCUCAGCCUUGGUCAUAAGGAUAAGGUUUUCGAUGCCGUUUGCUAGUGCAUAAGGUACAACUACCAUUAAGAAUCAAGUAAUUUGCUCAUUGCGGCAGAAAACGUGGUGUUGCACUAUAUAGCCUGUCAAUGGCUUACGAAGGGCGAAGUGCCGUCAGACCUUUAUGGCCAUUCUGAGUGGCCAGCCCAUACUUGCAAACAAUGAGAAUGUCCAUACUUGAUUCGGAAAGUAACAAUUUCUGGCAGUUAGUGGUCAAAGCCUCGCCCGUGGAGCUCAAUUUGAGGAUAGACAUUGUGUUGUGUUUUCAAUUUCAAGUGUUCAUGGAUUCCAUUACAAACUAUUUUGGGACAGUUAAGAGUCACCAUGAGGGCAGAUCGCUGCAACCGCUUCUUUCGUCCGAAUGGAUGAGCCUUUAAGUUCUAUACAAAGGCCGUGCAAGGGUCAAUAUCCAUACCUGUGCUGAACGAAGCGACGCCUCAGUACUGGGCACCGCAGGCGGCCAUUGCUCAGAAUGCUCUGGAUCAAGAGUUUUAGGCAUCGUCUUCUGGCCCAGCAGCGGUUGUGAUUUUCGUAUUACUGCUGCGGCAAUGGGGAGCUGUUUCACUGCAAUUGGGCUUGGUCUAGAACACGUACAAACACGGAUUUAUAGGGUCGCAUAAGACUGCAACGUCGUCCAACGACGUGGUUUUGUUGCAGCGUUUACAACACCAACGUUUGCGCGAGAGAUGUGUGUAGGAAAACAUGUGUGUGUGUGUUUUUGUGUGUGUGUUUUUGUGUGUGUGUUAGUAUAGUGGGCUGUCGUAUUUCCCUCAAGAUGUUUCACUUAAGCCCAAUCUCAAGUUCAUCUGCAGCGCUAAGUUUCCAUCUUCCCUCAUUAAUCGAGUAACGUUACAGUUUAUCCCAUCACCUCGAACCAUGGCCGCAGAAAUAGGAGGGGCGCGUACCUAAUAGUAUUAGCGCGUUAGGAAAACCCGCACUUAUCACAAUUAAGUCAUGCCAGGAUGGGUUGUUAGCAUGCGUCCUCAUAACGCGCCCCGCCUACGCCUCCUACGUGUCUAAUCGUCACCCACACAUUCAAACCACUAAUCCCCCAAGCCGUCUAUUCGGUCAGUCAUCGUCAAUAUUUCUUCACUGAGCAUGGCUACUAUACCUAGUAGAAACUUCAAGGCAUCAUCCCACGACUGGAAAACCGCCGGAUCCCACGUUUAUUGCUGGCGUACACACACACUCAUGAAUGGCUAGUUAUCGGUAAAAAUUAGAAUGCAUCAACUCUGCACGCAACCUACAAUCAACCAACUGAAAAAACAUUUGCACCAGAAACCUGCUUCCUGUACGUGUACGAUAAACCGACCAAUUCUUCCGAUAUGCCGGCCAUGCGUGCGCAUCCACACUCCCGAGGCGAUUAGCAACACGCGCAGCUGCUUAGACGGAGCGCUUGUUGGCCGGCUGCCAGUCGCGGGCGCUCUUGGGGCGCUGCACCAGGAAGCCCAUGAUCUGCACCUGCUUCACGUUGUCGAAGGCCACCAGGCGCACGUAGGCGUCCGGGAAGGCCUUGGUGCAGGCAACGAUCUCGCGCAGCACCUGCAUCGGGUCGCGGCAGCCGAACAUGGGCAGCUUCCACAUCGUCCAGUAGCGGUUGUCGUAGUACAGCUGCGGGGGAGGGAGGGACGGAAGCAGAAAAAAAGUAUGUUUAGCGACGGCGCAAAAAAAAGUGGUCAAGUCCCGAUAGGCUAUGGAAUACCUAACAGCGGAGUUGAAAUGAUGACCAUCCCUUUCGCCAUAUCCCCCAACUUACGCAGGAGACCGGGCCGAAGCGAACGGUCGACUCGUUCGACACGUAGGCCUUGUCGGCCUCAGCGAACUCCAGGCAAGGGAUCCAGCCUGGAGGGCGUUUACAGGCAGCGAACCACCUUAGCCACCGUGCCGUGAGAAAGCGAAUACCAUGCGGGUUACGAAACCCACGACCACUUUGAAAGAAACACGGAUUCUUGGUAUUGUAGCAAGGGAGAUGGAGCAGAUCCGUAUGGUACAUACUUGCCCUAAGUACGUGGGACAGAGCCUUACCAUUAGCAACAAUGUAGUCAACCUGAGCAGCGAUCUGCUCGUCAGUCAGAGGCGGCAGGUAGGAAAAGGUCUCGAACAUCCUGCAAGGUACAAAUGCCUUAGGCCCUUAUAAUUCCGCUAU
rnacentral:lncRNA from 1 species